CAACCUGCCUCGAAGUGGGGGACGAACAGCCCGAAAGGGCUGCUAAUACCGCAUGUGAAUUAUUUUCCGCAUGGUUUUUAAUUCAAAGCUUUAUGCGCUUCGAGAUGGGCUUGCGGCCUAUCAGCUUGUUGGCGAGGUAAUGGCUCACCAAGGCGAUGACGGGUAGCUGGUCUGAGAGGACGAUCAGCCGGAUUGGGACUGAGAUACGGCCCAG
rnacentral:rRNA from 1 species